AGAAUUCUCAGAGACUAUGAGGGUUCACUAUCUGUUUGCUGGAAGAUAUACAAGACUUUUGAGGAUAAUACUUAAAUGAAGAUAGACCGGAUGGUAAUUCAGUUGGAUAAUGAUCAGUGACGUUGAACUUCUUUUCAUGUGUUCAUUGGCCGUGUAAAUGUCUUCUUUUGAGACCUAACAAUACUUUUAAGACUGUUGCUUCUAUAUUUGAACUCCUUUAAGUCAUUAUAGACUGCAUAGUCACUACUUGUUGCUGUUAUUACAAUAACUGCCAGACAGAAAAAUAAAUCUACUUCAGACUUUUAAGGAAGUUUCAUAUCUUAAUACUUUUAAUUGCUUUUUAAUGGACACUAGCGGGAAACUAUCACUAACAACCUCUGUAGUGGUUUUCUCAUUUUCGUCAAGAUGUGAAUGUAUUUGGAUUAACGUAUGGGAAAGGGGCUUGAAAAAAAUAGGAAGCUGAAUUUAAUAUUGCCUUGAGCUAAAUGUUCUCUUUUUAUUUUUUCUUUUUAGUAUAAUAUGCUUUUUCUUAGCUUUCCUAUGACUCUACUUAGCAACUUUUGCUAAAAGAAACACAAUAUAUGACUGACUACUUUGAAGACACAUAUAUUGGACACUUAAAAUCAACAAAAGCAGAGAGAGCCAGAUUAUUUCCUACUGGGGCUACCCUGAUGAAGAAUAUGAUAUUGUAACCGAAGAUGGUUAUAUCCUUGGCCUUUAUAGAAUUCCUUAUUGGAGGACAGACAAUAAUAAAAAUCUAGGUAAUAUUCAAUUGAAGAUGGAUUGGUGACAAUCUGGGGCCUGAAGUUCUUAAUUGCUCCAAUUGACGGAGAACAUAGGACAAGAAAAGCAUCUUAAGAUUAAGUGAAUAGUUAACUUCCCAUGUAUCUUCUCGCAUGCUACAAGAAGAGUCACACAAGAAGAUACACCGGCCUUCUGGUCACAGAGAGGUUGUGAUGGAACACAAGCUGUUCUUCCCAGGUUUCCUUUGUGGAUCACUUUGCUCUUACAUGUUGAUUCUCUAGAAUUUUCUUUUUCUGAUGAGAAAUUAGAAAUGCUCUGAAACACAAUAACAUUAUUAUGCUCUAGGUUUUGAAGAAAGGCUGGUACAAAUUUCCUUUUUUGUCUUUCUGAUUCUCUCCUCUAGAAAUAGCAGAGAGAUGAGGUUAGUAGCAGCCUCAGGGCUCUUUAUUCCAACAGUAAGUAUCAUCAGAGUGUGGUGCAAAAUGCACUGGAAUUUGUUAGGAGAUCUGGGUUGUAAUCCUAGAUCUGCCACUUACUAGUAGAAUAUGUAAUGGAUUACUUUUUCUUAUUCAUAUAAUUACCCAAAUAAAAGCCAAGUAUUUUCUCCUUAGCUUUUCUUCCUGAAAGAAUGUUUCUUUCAGAAGGAAACAGGAUGUGAAACAAAUAGAAUGUUUCUUAUAUUAUAGGGCAUCCUCUCAAGUUAUUUUGAACAUUAAAGUACACUUCAGAGAGGAUAUUAAUUUGAAACAACCUCAAUUAACAUAAUUUUGCAUAUUUAUAAAGGUUAUACCCAGUAGCAGAAAAUCUUAACAUAGAUUUUAUAUAAUAAUAGUAAUUAUCCCCCAAGCUAUGACCUCAUUUUACAAGUACUGUAUUAAAGAUUUAAAGAUAAUUUUAAAACACAGCAAGUGCCUUAGAGUGCUCUAAAGGCAGAGCCUGAGAGAGGGGUUCAGGUACAUGUGACUGAUUGAUGAAAUACUGUCAGGAGGCAGUAACGUGGAAAUUAGGAUAAAGUAGGGUAAAGAGUUAAGGAAUAAUAUAAUAUGACUCAGCUUGGGGCUAGCUAAAAGAUGAUCUCAGAGGAGUUCAAGGUUCCCAUAAAAAUUACACUACAGAGGUGGUCCCACCCUGAGAUUAGAGAGCCAGCUUUUUGCAUUCCUAAAUCAGUUAAUCAUUGCCUGAAGGCUACCCCUAGAAGGAGGUGUGAUCUCUUAGGUGAGGCAGUUCCAAUUUGGCCAUGGGCAAUUCUACAGAGAAAGGAGCAAUAGUAAACCCUUAAAAAGCAACACUAGGGCCAUAACUAGUAUUCAUAAAUGUCCUCCUCCACUAUCCAUUCUAGAUUUCUUUACCUCUCAGCUAGCCUGCCUGAUGAGCAAUAGUAAACCCUUAAAAAGCAACCUAAGGCCAUAACUAGUACUCAUAAAUGUCCUCCUCCACCAUCUAUUCUAGCUUUCUCUACCUCUCAGCUAGCCUGCCUGAUAGGGUAAGCCAGACCUUCAUCCCUAGGGGCUAACAUAUUCAUAUCAGGUGAUGGUUGCACUUGUUCAUGUACAGUUAAAACAGGGCAUAGAAGUAGGAAAAGAUGACUCAGUGGAUCUCCUGAAGAGCAAAUGUAUUUCUCCCUUUCCUCGUUUUGUAGCAGCAGACCUACUUCCUUAUGAUGAUCAGGGUCAAUGAACUUCCUGGUCUUCAGUAAUGAAGAGCCCAAAGUGACCAGGCGGUGGUCAUAGCCUUGUUUGUUAGGAUGCUUACAGUGCCUUGGUGGAAGCAUUUUCUCUCUGGAGACCAGGGCCUCUAGAUAUGUAGAGGCUAAAAUUGUGAGAACAGAUCCCUAAAUGGGUUACUAGGAGUCAUGGCAAGCUCUUGUUCCUCAGACUCCUGUAUUCUACUUAUUGGGGAAUCACUAAUAUAUUCUCACCAUUUUUAAAAGAUGUACAAUAAAUCCUGAAGGAUAGUGCCCAUACUUACAGGAUGUCAUCUCCCAGCUGGCUUUUUCCCAGCUGGCUUUUACUGAGCAUUCAAGGGCUUGUUUCAUUUUUCUAUCAGGUUGGCAGCCUCUUGUUGGGAGUUAUAUGGUAGGACCAGUGGAUACCAUGGCCAUGUGCCAAUGGAUGUGUCAACUUUGCUAUGUAAUUGAUCCCUGAUUUAAAAUGUGUUACUUAAAAUGUGUAUGAGUGCUUGAAUUACUAUAAAAUUUUUUAUUAUUUUCUCUCAGUAAAAUGUACAUAUUUAAGUGUGAUGUGACCUAAUUGCUCACUUGGUUAUUUGAAAGACAUCCAUUAGUGAACUGUAUUAAACAGCUCUGUCAUACAACGGGAUUAAAUCUUAAUAACUUACCCCACUUAUGAAAACAAUUUUUUAAAAUCUUUAAACUGUCAUGUACUAAAAGUUUGAAUUUCAGAUAAAAGAUUUUCAUAUAGAUAACUACAAAAUUUAUAAAGAACUUUCUACAUUUUUUUCUCAGCUCAGAGGGUUGUUGUAUACUUGCAACAUGGUUUGCUUACAUCUGCCAGCAGCUGGAUUUCCAAUCUUCCCAACAAUAGUCUGGGCUUCAUUCUGGCAGAUGCUGGUUAUGAUGUGUGGAUGGGAAAUAGCAGAGGAAAUACCUGGUCCAGGAAACACUUGUACCUAGAAACGAGUUCCAAAGAAUUCUGGGCUUUCAGGUACAAAUAAAAUGAAGUAACAUUUCAUUUUAUAAGUGUAUACAAAUUUUUCAUUUUGAAUGCAAUAAAAUAAAAUUUAGGUCUUACUAUUUUCACAAUUUAGGACUUUCCAUAGACUAUUACAAUUUAUGUGAAUUUUUGCUUGAAAAUUAAAGAGUACUUGUGUGA
rnacentral:lncRNA from 1 species